rnacentral:rRNA from 1 species
UUGGAGGGCAAGUCUGGUGCCAGCAGCCGCGGUAAUUCCAGCUCCAAUAGCGUAUAUUAAAGUUGUUGCAGUUAAAAAGCUCGUAGUUGAAUUUCGGGGUUAGUAGGUUGGUCAUGCACUGGUAUGUACUGGUCUCACUGAUUCCUCCUUCCUGAUGAGCCGUAAUGCCAUUAAUUUGGUGUUGCGAGGAAUCUGGACUGUUACUUUGAAAAAAUUAGAGUGUUUAAAGCAGGCUAACGCUUGAAUACAUUAGCAUGGAAUAAUGAAAUAGGACGUUCGAUCUUAUUUUGUUGGUUUCUAGGAUUGACGUAAUGAUUAAUAGGGAUAGUUGGGGGCAUUAGUAUUCAAUUGUCAGAGGUGAAAUUCUUGGAUUUAUUGAAGACUAACUACUGCGAAAGCAUUUGCCAAGGAUGUUUUCAUUAAUCAAGAACGAAAGUUAGGGGAUCGAAGACGAUCAGAUACUGUCGUAGUCUUAACCAUAAACUAUGCCGACUAGGGAUCGGAUGAUGUUAAUUUUUUAAUGACUCAUUCGGCGCCUUACGGGAAAC